UACGUAGGGAGCGAGCGUUGUCCGGACUUAUUGGGCGUAAAGAGCUCGUAGGCGGUUUGGUAAGUCGGGUGUGAAAGCUCCGGGCUCAACUCGGAGAGGUCACUCGAUACUGCCAUGACUGGAGUCCGGUAGGGGGGUGUGGAAUUCCCAGUGUAGCGGUGAAAUGCGCAGAUAUUGGGAGGAACACCAAUGGCGAAGGCAGCACCCUGGGCCGGUACUGACGCUGAGGAGCGAAAGCGUGGGGAGCAAACAGG
rnacentral:rRNA from 1 species